rnacentral:rRNA from 1 species
UACGGAGGGCGCAAGCGUUGUUCGGAAUCACUGGGCGUAAAGCGCGUGUAGGCGGCCGGGCAAGUCGGAUGUGAAAUCCCGAGGCUCAACCUCGAAACUGCAUUCGAAACUGCUCGGCUCGAGUCCCGGAGAGGAUGGCGGAAUUCCUGGUGUAGCGGUGAAAUGCGCAGAUAUCAGGAGGAACACCAAUUGCGAAGGCAGCUCGCUGGGACGUUACUGACGCUGAGACGCGAAAGCGUGGGGAGCAAACAGG